rnacentral:rRNA from 1 species
AACCCAGUGUGUUUCGACACACUAUCAUUAACUGAAUCCAUAGGUUAAUGAGGCGAACCGGGGGAACUGAAACAUCUAAGUACCCCGAGGAAAAGAAAUCAACCGAGAUUCCCCCAGUAGCGGCGAGCGAACGGGGAGGAGCCCAGAGCCUGAAUCAGUGUGUGUGUUAGUGGAAGCGUCUGGAAAGGCGCGCGAUACAGGGUGACAGCCCCGUACACAAAAAUGCACAUGCUGUGAGCUCGAUGAGUAGGGCGGGACACGUGGUAUCCUGUCUGAAUAUGGGGGGACCAUCCUCCAAGGCUAAAUACUCCUGACUGACCGAUAGUGAACCAGUACCGUGAGGGAAAGGCGAAAAGAACCCCGGCGAGGGGAGUGAAAAAGAACCUGAAACCGUGUACGUACAAGCAGUGGGAGCCUCUUAAUGGGGUGACUGCGUACCUUUUGUAUAAUGGGUCAGCGACUUAUAUUCUGUAGCAAGGUUAACCGAAUAGGGGAGCCGAAGGGAAACCGAGUCUUAACUGGGCGUUAAGUUGCAGGGUAUAGACCCGAAACCCGGUGAUCUAGCCAUGGGCAGGUUGAAGGUUGGGUAACACUAACUGGAGGACCGAACCGACUAAUGUUGAAAAAUUAGCGGAUGACUUGUGGCUGGGGGUGAAAGGCCAAUCAAACCGGGAGAUAGCUGGUUCUCCCCGAAAGCUAUUUAGGUAGCGCCUCGUGAAUUCAUCUCCGGGGGUAGAGCACUGUUUCGGCAAGGGGGUCAUCCCGACUUACCAACCCGAUGCAAACUGCGAAUACCGGAGAAUGUUAUCACGGGAGACACACGGCGGGUGCUAACGUCCGUCGUGAAGAGGGAAACAACCCAGACCGCCAGCUAAGGUCCCAAAGUCAUGGUUAAGUGGGAAACGAUGUGGGAAGGCCCAGACAGCCAGGAUGUUGGCUUAGAAGCAGCCAUCAUUUAAAGAAAGCGUAAUAGCUCACUGGUCGAGUCGGCCUGCGCGGAAGAUGUAACGGGGCUAAACCAUGCACCGAAGCUGCGGCAGCGACACUAUGUGUUGUUGGGUAGGGGAGCGUUCUGUAAGCCUGUGAAGGUGGCCUGUGAGGGUUGCUGGAGGUAUCAGAAGUGCGAAUGCUGACAUAAGUAACGAUAAAGCGGGUGAAAAGCCCGCUCGCCGGAAGACCAAGGGUUCCUGUCCAACGUUAAUCGGGGCAGGGUGAGUCGACCCCUAAGGCGAGGCCGAAAGGCGUAGUCGAUGGGAAACAGGUUAAUAUUCCUGUACUUGGUGUUACUGCGAAGGGGGGACGGAGAAGGCUAUGUUGGCCGGGCGACGGUUGUCCCGGUUUAAGCGUGUAGGCUGGUUUUCCAGGCAAAUCCGGAAAACCAAGGCUGAGGCGUGAUGACGAGGCACUACGGUGCUGAAGUGACAAAUGCCCUGCUUCCAGGAAAAGCCUCUAAGCAUCAGGUAACAUCAAAUCGUACCCCAAACCGACACAGGUGGUCAGGUAGAGAAUACCAAGGCGCUUGAGAGAACUCGGGUGAAGGAACUAGGCAAAAUGGUGCCGUAACUUCGGGAGAAGGCACGCUGAUAUGUAGGUGAAGCGACUUGCUCGUGGAGCUGAAAUCAGUCGAAGAUACCAGCUGGCUGCAACUGUUUAUUAAAAACACAGCACUGUGCAAACACGAAAGUGGACGUAUACGGUGUGACGCCUGCCCGGUGCCGGAAGGUUAAUUGAUGGGGUUAGCGGUAACGCGAAGCUCUUGAUCGAAGCCCCGGUAAACGGCGGCCGUAACUAUAACGGUCCUAAGGUAGCGAAAUUCCUUGUCGGGUAAGUUCCGACCUGCACGAAUGGCGUAAUGAUGGCCAGGCUGUCUCCACCCGAGACUCAGUGAAAUUGAACUCGCUGUGAAGAUGCAGUGUACCCGCGGCAAGACGGAAAGACCCCGUGAACCUUUACUAUAGCUUGACACUGAACAUUGAGCCUUGAUGUGUAGGAUAGGUGGGAGGCUUUGAAGUGUGGACGCCAGUCUGCAUGGAGCCGACCUUGAAAUACCACCCUUUAAUGUUUGAUGUUCUAACGUUGGCCCCUAAUCGGGGUUGCGGACAGUGUCUGGUGGGUAGUUUGACUGGGGCGGUCUCCUCCUAAAGAGUAACGGAGGAGCACGAAGGUUGGCUAAUCCUGGUCGGACAUCAGGAGGUUAGUGCAAUGGCAUAAGCCAGCUUGACUGCGAGCGUGACGGCGCGAGCAGGUGCGAAAGCAGGUCAUAGUGAUCCGGUGGUUCUGAAUGGAAGGGCCAUCGCUCAACGGAUAAAAGGUACUCCGGGGAUAACAGGCUGAUACCGCCCAAGAGUUCAUAUCGACGGCGGUGUUUGGCACCUCGAUGUCGGCUCAUCACAUCCUGGGGCUGAAGUAGGUCCCAAGGGUAUGGCUGUUCGCCAUUUAAAGUGGUACGCGAGCUGGGUUUAGAACGUCGUGAGACAGUUCGGUCCCUAUCUGCCGUGGGCGCUGGAGAACUGAGGGGGGCUGCUCCUAGUACGAGAGGACCGGAGUGGACGCAUCACUGGUGUUCGGGUUGUCAUGCCAAUGGCACUGCCCGGUAGCUAAAUGCGGAAGAGAUAAGUGCUGAAAGCAUCUAAGCACGAAACUUGCCCCGAGAUGAGUUCUCCCUGAGACUUAGAGUCUCCUGAAGGAACGUUGAAGACGACGACGUUGAUAGGCCGGGUGUGUAAGCGCAGCGAUGCGUUGAGCUAACCGGUACUAAUGAACCGUGAGGCUUAACCUUACAACGCCGAAG